rnacentral:rRNA from 1 species
GGCUCAGGAUGAACGCUAGCUACAGGCUUAACACAUGCAAGUCGAGGGGCAGCAUCAUUAAAGCUUGCUUUGAUGGAUGGCGACCGGCGCACGGGUGAGUAACACGUAUCCAACCUGCCGACAACACUGGGAUAGCCUUUCGAAAGAAAGAUUAAUACCGGAUGGCAUAGUUUUCCCGCAUGGGAUAAUUAUUAAAGAAUUUCGGUUGUCGAUGGGGAUGCGUUCCAUUAGGCAGUUGGCGGGGUAACGGCCCACCAAACCUACGAUGGAUAGGGGUUCUGAGAGGAAGGUCCCCCACAUUGGAACUGAGACACGGUCCAAACUCCUACGGGAGGCAGCAGUGAGGAAUAUUGGUCAAUGGACGAGAGUCUGAACCAGCCAAGUAGCGUGAAGGAUGACUGCCCUAUGGGUUGUAAACUUCUUUUAUACGGGAAUAAAGUGAGGCACGUGUGCCUUUUUGUAUGUACCGUAUGAAUAAGGAUCGGCUAACUCCGUGCCAGCAGCCGCGGUAAUACGGAGGAUCCGAGCGUUAUCCGGAUUUAUUGGGUUUAAAGGGAGCGUAGGCGGGUUGUUAAGUCAGUUGUGAAAGUUUGCGGCUCAACCGUAAAAUUGCAGUUGAUACUGGCGACCUUGAGUGCAACAGAGGUAGGCGGAAUUCGUGGUGUAGCGGUGAAAUGCUUAGAUAUCACGAAGAACUCCGAUUGCGAAGGCAGCUUGCUGGACUGUAACUGACGCUGAUGCUCGAAAGUGUGGGUAUCAAACAGGAUUAGAUACCCUGGUAGUCCACACAGUAAACGAUGAAUACUCGCUGUUUGCGAUAUACAGUAAGCGGCCAAGCGAAAGCAUUAAGUAUUCCACCUGGGGAGUACGCCGGCAACGGUGAAACUCAAAGGAAU